rnacentral:lncRNA from 1 species
AUCUUGGCUCGGGCGCGCGCCCCUCUGUGGCCGGAGUGGCCUAGCCCAAAAUGGCGGCGUGGCCCUGAGGCGGCGCUCGGCUCCUUCGCGAGGGUACAAAACUCUUGUGUUUUAGCGCAGAUGUGGCGCGAGCUCGUCGAGGGAAGUAACAACAAAGAUUACUGAGGAGUUACCAUGGAGACUGAAACAGUCCAAGUCCAGCAAAAGGCAAACGUGUAGUCAAACCCCAGUAUAUGCGUAUACAUAAACAGGACCUAGUGGAUUAUUUCUAUUAAAUUAAAUUAUCAGGAGAUAUUAUAUGCUUAUUAUCCCAUGGCAGCUAGGGUUGGGAUCAGAUGAACUUUAAGGCCCACAAGUUUCUAUGAUCUACUGGCGAAAUGCUUUUAAUGACGCUAAAAGAUCAUUUAAAUUUACAGCAAAAUUAUACAGUCAGGUGGUGAGGUCCCACUUGAUCUAAGAGGGAAUAAAGCUCCUCUGUGGCUGACUGACCUUCCACUCAAGCAUGGCUAUGUUGCAUUUUCUUAUACUGAGGUUAGAGAUACUUGCAAAUGCUGGAAGAAGGAAGAUCCUUGGUUUUGCAUUGAAGACUCAUGUUUACUUGGAACCUUUUUUCUGUGAAAGAUGCACUGACCAACCACUUUUAGUAGCACCAAUAGGAAAUGUAAGAACUGCGUAAAACUGCUCCUCCCUAGGAAACCAAAAUCCCACGGCGCAACCCCGGGCCACGCCCCCCGGUCGGGCCGGGCCCAGAAAGGGGCGCUGUCUCUUUAAGGCGACGGUGCGGGCGCCCCCUGGCGGCGGCGGCGCGGAGCCC